AGAAUUGGAUAACUUCAUAACUUGGAUAACUGAGGCCAAACUUGGAUACUUUGCUGGCCAAGGACCAAGAUGCCCCGUCAAAGGGGAUGCUGCAGAUUGGGAAUGCUGGCGGUUCUUGGGCCUGGCUUUUAAUAGAAAGUUUAGAAGUUUGGGACCUCCCGAAGGCACCUCAGAAGACAGACCUGCUGAUUGACUUCCGAAAAGAUUCGCCCUGGGAAUGUCCUGGUUUGACACACAAGGGCUCAGCAGGAGUUGACUCUACAGCAACAUUUUGGUGGGGAUGUGACUUAGACUCCCUUUCUUUGGCGGUCUCCAAACUUUCUUUUAGCAUUGUCCUACAUAAUUUAUGUUCAUUCAUUUAAAAAUGAUGUGCAAAGACUUGUCCUAUAGCACUGAUCAUUAAAGAUGGUCAAAGGACAAUUUUGAAGGGAUUUGGUCAGUGGAGAUACAUAGAUUUCAACUAUUUCCAUCUUGCAGAUUGGAGGUUUGCUGGUGGGCCCCUGGCAUGUACACCCCCCAGUCCCUUCAGAGAACAUGCCUCCCACUGUCUAUGAACAGAGCCCUGUUUCACAUCUGGGCAGAGGUGGGAGUGACUUUUCCUAUCAUGGUUGGAAUUUAUGCUGGGUCUCCCCACACACCGCUCUGCCACGCACAUUCAUCCUCUGCAGGGGAGGAAAGGGGACGGAUUUUAUUUCUGUCCCACGUACGACAGUAGGCACCGUAUUAAAUGAGCUCUGUUUGAUUAAACAACUGCCAGCUUGUGUUUCACAA